AGUGAAUACGCUGUUCAAAAAGUUGUUGGUGAAAAUGAAAAAUGUGUCUUUUUGCUUUACCUAAAAACCAAAGGAAUUUUUUGGCCAACUCAAUACUUACAUGU